rnacentral:rRNA from 1 species
AUUGAACGCUGGCGGCAUGCCUUACACAUGCAAGUCGAACGGUAACAGGUCUUCGGAUGCUGACGAGUGGCGAACGGGUGAGUAAUACAUCGGAACGUGCCCGAUCGUGGGGGAUAACGGAGCGAAAGCUUUGCUAAUACCGCAUACGAUCUACGGAUGAAAGCAGGGGACCGCAAGGCCUUGCGCGGACGGAGCGGCCGAUGGCAGAUUAGGUAGUUGGUGGGAUAAAAGCUUACCAAGCCGACGAUCUGUAGCUGGUCUGAGAGGACGACCAGCCACACUGGGACUGAGACACGGCCCAGACUCCUACGGGAGGCAGCAGUGGGGAAUUUUGGACAAUGGGCGAAAGCCUGAUCCAGCCAUGCCGCGUGCAGGAUGAAGGCCUUCGGGUUGUAAACUGCUUUUGUACGGAACGAAAAGACUCCUUCUAAUAAAGGGGGUCCAUGACGGUACCGUAAGAAUAAGCACCGGCUAACUACGUGCCAGCAGCCGCGGUAAUACGUAGGGUGCAAGCGUUAAUCGGAAUUACUGGGCGUAAAGCGUGCGCAGGCGGUUAUAUAAGACAGAUGUGAAAUCCCCGGGCUCAACCUGGGAGCUGCAUUUGUGACUGUAUAGCUAGAGUACGGCAGAGGGGGAUGGAAUUCCGCGUGUAGCAGUGAAAUGCGUAGAUAUGCGGAGGAACACCGAUGGCGAAGGCAAUCCCCUGGGCCUGUACUGACGCUCAUGCACGAAAGCGUGGGGAGCAAACAGGAUUAGAUACCCUGAUAGUCAAU